rnacentral:rRNA from 1 species
UAGGGAAUCUUCCACAAUGGACGCAAGUCUGAUGGAGCAACGCCGCGUGAGUGAAGAAGGUUUUCGGAUCGUAAAGCUCUGUUGUUGGUGAAGAAGGAUAGAGGCAGUAACUGGUCUUUAUUUGACGGUAAUCAACCAGAAAGUCACGGCUAACUACGUGCCAGCAGCCGCGGUAAUACGUAGGUGGCAAGCGUUGUCCGGAUUUAUUGGGCGUAAAGCGAGCGCAGGCGGAAUGAUAAGUCUGAUGUGAAAGCCCACGGCUCAACCGUGGAACUGCAUCGGAAACUGUCAUCCUUGAGUGCAGAAGAGGAGAGUGGAACUCCAUGUGUAGCGGUGGAAUGCGUAGAUAUAUGGAAGAACACCAGUGGCGAAGGCGGCUCUCUGGUCUGCAACUGACGCUGAGGCUCGAAAGCAUGGGUAGCGAACAGGAUUAGAUACCCUGGUAGUCCAUGCCGUAAACGAUGAGCGCUAGGUGUUGGGGACUUUCCGGUUCUCAGUGCCGCAGCAAACGCAUUAAGCGCUCCGCCUGGGGAGUACGACCGCAAGGUUGAAAC